rnacentral:rRNA from 1 species
GACGAACGCUGGCGGCGUGCUUAACACAUGCAAGUCGAACGAAGCUUGAUUACGGAUUCUUCGGAUGAAGUAUGAUAUGACUGAGUGGUGGACGGGUGAGUAACGCGUGAGUAACCUGCCCUUCAGAGGGGGAUAGCGUUUGGAAACGAACGGUAAUACCGCAUAAUGUAUUUUGACCGCAUGAUCGAAAUACCAAAGAUUUAUCGCUGAAGGAUGGACUCGCGUCUGAUUAGGUAGUUGGUGAGGUAACGGCCUACCAAGCCGACGAUCAGUAGCCGGACUGAGAGGUUGAUCGGCCACAUUGGGACUGAGACACGGCCCAGACUCCUACGGGAGGCAGCAGUGGGGAAUAUUGCACAAUGGGCGCAAGCCUGAUGCAGCAACGCCGCGUGAAGGAAGACGGUUUUCGGAGUGUAAAAGUCUGUUCUUAGUGAAGAAUAAUGACGGUAGCUAAGGAGCAAGCCACGGCUAACUACGUG